rnacentral:rRNA from 1 species
GAUGAACGCUGGCGGCGUGCUUAACACAUGCAAGUCGAACGAAGCACUUUAACCUGAUUCUUCGGAUGAAGGUUUUUGUGACUGAGUGGCGGACGGGUGAGUAACGCGUGGGUAACCUGCCUCAUACAGGGGGAUAACAGUUAGAAAUGACUGCUAAUACCGCAUAAGACCACAGAGCCGCACGGCUCGGUGGGAAAAACUCCGGUGGUAUGAGAUGGACCCGCGUCUGAUUAGGUAGUUGGUGGGGUAACGGCCUACCAAGCCAACGAUCAGUAGCCGACCUGAGAGGGUGACCGGCCACAUUGGGACUGAGACACGGCCCAAACUCCUACGGGAGGCAGCAGUGGGGAAUAUUGCACAAUGGGGGAAACCCUGAUGCAGCGACGCCGCGUGAGCGAAGAAGUAUUUCGGUAUGUAAAGCUCUAUCAGCAGGGAAGAAAAUGACGGUACCUGACUAAGAAGCACCGGCUAAAUACGUG